CACGCGCCCGGGACACCAGCGUCGCGCUCACCCCUCAGAGUCUGGCAGAGAGACUGGGAAAGCCGCCAAGGACGCACGGGGCGUGCCCCCAGGGGCCUGACUCAGCCGACUUACGAAUGUCGACUGAGGAAGACCCGGAAACUGGGAGCCAUGUGAGCCAUGGCUGAUGUGGUGCAGACGACACCAAAAGCCCCUGGAGAGGCGGAGUCAGGCUGAGGGGGUGCCUUCCAGAGUCCACUGUGACACAUUUCCCCCGGGCCCUAGCUCCAGGCCCUAUCCAAACUAAUGGUCCGAAGGCGCCAUUGUCUUCAGAGGAGGCCUGAAAAGCUGGGGAACAGGAUGAGGAUGCAGCUGGAAAGACCAGAAACUCACGACUGUCCCUGCUGCUUGCUGAGAAGAUCUGAACCCCGAGGUACCCAGGAGCCUAUUAACCUACCAUAAAUGUCUGAUCCAGAGAGAGCAGGCUCCCUCCCAGCCUUGAAAGGAUAGAGGACAGUAGGACUAAGGAGGUCGAGGUCACUCAGGA